UACGAAGGGGGCGAGCGUUGUUCGGAUUUACUGGGCGUAAAGGGCGCGCAGGCGGCUCAUUUUGUCAGGCGUGAAAGCCCCGGGCUUAACCUGGGAACUGCGUUUGAUACGGAUGGGCUAGAGUUCGGGAGAGGUGAGUGGAACUGCGAGUGUAGAGGUGAAAUUCGUAGAUAUUCGCAAGAACACCAGUGGCGAAGGCGGCUCACUGGCCCGAUACUGACGCUGAGGCACGAAAGCUAGGGGAGCGAAAGGG
rnacentral:rRNA from 1 species